CCGGGAGCGCCCGGAGCCCGCGCCGGCCCUUGCGCCUGUCCAGGCACUGCCAAUCGAGACUCCGCCGUUCCGCUAGUCCCAGCUAGCCGCCAGCCGAACGCCGGCCUCGCCAGAAACCUGAAACCAGCCGCGUGAGUCGGCGACGCGGAUUGCGCCUGCGCGCUUGGGGAGAGGGUGACCCGAGGAAGAGACUGGUUCGCCGCGGGGACCGGGCAGGGCUCCUCGUCGGAGUGCACUGCGCCGGACACUUCAAGCCCUGGAGGGACAGGAAAGCCAGAAAUGGACUUCGUGAGACUCGCUCGACUGUUCGCCAGGGCCCGCCCCAUGGGACUGUUCAUCCUGCAACACCUGGACCCCUGUAGAGCCAGGUGGGCAGGAGGCAGGGAGGGGCUGAUGCGGCCACUGUGGGCGCCCUUCAGCAGCUCCUCCUCUCAGCUGCCCCUCGGCCAGGAGCGCCAGGAAAACACGGGCAGCCUGGGCUCUGACCCGAGCCACUCCAACUCCACGGCCACGCAGGAAGAAGACGAGGAGCAGGAGGAGAGUUUUGGGACCCUCUCUAACAAAUACUCCUCCCGGAAACUAUUCCGCAAAUCCGCAGCCCAGUUCCAUAACCUGCGGUUUGGGGAACGGAGAGAUGAGCAAAUGGAACCGGAGCCCAAAUUAUGGCGAGGCCGGAGAAACACCCCGUACUGGUACUUCUUGCAGUGCAAACGCCUGAUCAAGGAAGGGAAGCUGGUUGAAGCCCUGGACCUGUUUGAGAGGCAGAUGCUGAAGGAGGAGCGAUUGCAGCCCAUGGAGAGCAACUACACGGUGCUGAUUGGGGGCUGCGGGCGGGUUGGCUACCUGAAGAAGGCCUUCAACCUCUACAACCAGAUGAAAAAGCGGGACCUGGAGCCCUCGGACGCCACCUACACGGCCCUGUUCAACGUCUGUGCCGAGUCCCCCUGGAAGGACUCAGCUCUACAGAGUGCCCUGAAGCUCCGGCAGCAGCUGCAGGCCAAAAACUUCGAGCUCAACUUGAAAACAUACCACGCACUGCUGAAGAUGGCUGCCAAGUGCGCAGACCUUAGGAUGUGCCUCGAUGUGUUCAAGGAAAUCAUCCACAAAGGGCACGUGGUCACAGAGGAGACCUUCAGUUUCCUGCUCAUGGGCUGCAUCCAAGACAAGAAGACAGGCUUCCGGUACGCCCUCCAGGUGUGGCGGCUGAUGCUGAGUCUGGGGCUACAGCCGAGCCGGGACAGCUACAACCUGCUGUUGGUGGCAGCUCGGGACUGUGGCCUAGGGGACCCCCAGGUGGCCUCAGAGCUGCUUCUGAAGCCCAGGGAGGAGGCGACUGUGCUUCAGCUCCCAGUGAGCAGGCAGCGGCCAAGGAGGACAGCCCAGGCCAAGGCAGGCAACCUCAUGUCAGCCAUGCUGCAUGUGGAGGCCCUGGAGAGGCAGCUGUUUCUGGAACCUUCUCAGGCACUUGGGCCUCCAGAGCCUCUGGAAGCCAGAGUGCCCGGCAAGGCCCAACCAGAGGUGGAUACUAAGGCAGAGCCCAGCCACACAGCAGCCCUCACCCCAGUGGCCCUGAAGCCACCUCCCGUGGAGCUGGAAGUCAACCUCCUGACCCCCGGGGCCGUUCCCCCUACAGUGGUCUCCUUUGGAACAGUGACCACCCCAGCUGACCGGCUGGCCUUGAUAGGGGGCCUGGAGGGCUUCCUGAGCAAGAUGGCAGAGCACAGGCAGCAGCCCGACAUCAGGACCCUCACGCUACUGGCCGAGGUGGUGGAGUCCGGGAGUCCUGCAGAGUCCUUGCUGCUGGCCCUCCUGGAUGAGCACCAGGUAGAGGCCGACCUGACAUUCUUUAACACGCUGGUGAGAAAGAAGAGCAAGCUGGGAGACCUGGAGGGGGCCAAGGCGCUGUUGCCGGUCCUGGCAAAGAGGGGCCUCGUCCCCAACCUGCAGACAUUCUGCAACCUGGCCAUCGGGUGCCACAGGCCGAAGGACGGUCUACAGCUUCUCACAGACAUGAAGAAGUCCCAGGUGACCCCCAACACUCACAUCUACAGUGCCCUCAUCAACGCGGCCAUCAGGAAGCUGAACUACACCUAUCUCAUCAACAUCUUGAAGGACAUGAAGCAGAACAGGGUCCCGGUGAACGAAGUGGUCAUCCGCCAGCUGGAGUUUGCAGCCCAGUACCCUCCCACCUUUGACCGGGUGUGUGCCCCAAGCUCAAAAGCUCAUCAGCUCCUUCACCAUUGCUACCCCCUCCCCCCACCACCCAACCCCGGUUCUGGCCCUUGGGAUUGUGUUGCCAUGCUUGAAACUGUCCAGCAGCUUCCCUUAGGAGCAGUACCCAAGUCUGUAGACCACAGCCUGCGAGUCCCUGUCCGCGUGGCUCAUCUCAUGUCUCAGCCUUGCGUUUGCUUUCUCUGUCUGUCCCAGUGGCCUUCUGUCAGUUCGCAGAGGCCACCAACCUCUUGCCUGCUUCGGGAUUGGUGUUCCCGCUGCCUCAGGUGGCACCCACUUUUCCUGGAGGUCUCUGCUUAAGUGGCCCUCAGACAUGCCCAGCUGGCUGCCGCUCUGACCUGGGAUGAAAGUCUCCCCUCCCCCUUCCCGCUCUGUUCCUUUAUGCCGUGUCCUACAGUCUUGGAUCAUGUGCUCAUGGGCAGCCCUGGCCUUCCCUGUAUCAGGCUUCUGGAGGCAGAGGCUGUCUGCCGUGCUCAUCUGGGUCCCCAGCACCUGCACGUUGCUGGGUACUCCAAACAGGUUGUCGCUUGCUCAGGGACUGGGCAGGCAGUGAAGUGGCGUCAUUGUCUGGGGUGAAUACCCGAGAUUUGUUGUGAGCCAAGAUCGCACCACUGCACUCCAGCCUGGGCGAUAGAUGGAGACUUGGUCUCAAGAAAAAAAAAGAGGUUAAGAGCUGAAGUUUAAUAGGCGAAAGAAAGAAGAGCUCUCGCCGGGUGUGGUGGUGAAAAAAAAAAAAAGAGAAGAGCUCUCUCCUUGCAGAGAGAGGUGCCAGAGAAGUGGGUUGCCACUUCCAUAGUGUAAUGCAGAGGUUUUGUAGAUGAGCUUGGGGAGGUGGUGUCUGAUUUACAGAGGACGCAAAAGAUUAGUUGGACCAGGUGUGCCAUUUACAUAGCGUGUAUAAAAGCUGGUGCCCCACCCUAACCUUUUAUUAUGCAGACAGGUGGCCAUCGCCAUGUUGCCUGGUUCUUUACUGUACACAUGGCGACAAAGAAGGGAAGAUGGGGCCCCCACGUUGAACAUAUCUGGCUCCCAGGUAGCCCUUUUCUGUUGGCACAGCCGCCAGCAUUUACCCCUGCAAGCUUCCAGUUUGCUUAUCUAUGUCUGCAGCUCGAUUUUUCAGGCUGCUCUUUGUUAGAAAAGAAAUUAUUUGGGGGCUGCUUUUUAUUAAAAGGGAAAUUUCGCCAAGGACUCUGUUGCCCUUAUCAUCUGCCUAAAUAAUUUCUUUCAACUUCCUGUAUCAGCAGGAGCAGGGCAGAGUCAUGGAAUCUGCUUUGUCAUGGCCACAGCCUCUCCCUGCUGUUCUGAGGCUAUCAGGCUCUGGGGUUUGGCUUUUGGGUCCAUCGAAUCACACUCUGCUGAGCAUCUCCGGAGCAUCGAGAGCCACUAUGGCUUGAAGCACAGCCUGGAUGGGGCGGAAACAAGUACAUGGGCAGGGACACACACAGCUAGAGGGUGCGGGGUCAGGAACGCCGUGCAGGUAUCACGCCUGAAUGCCAUUUUGAGGGCUUCCUACAAAUAGGUGGGACAGCAAUGGAAAUUGUGUCUGGCUGAAGGCAUAGCUGGGCAUUUUUGAACUGUGUGUCUGUGCUUUGAACUGUUGGUUGCAAGCCUUUUCUCAUUGAUUCCAGGGUUUUUUAUAUAUUCUGGGUACUGGUUUUUUGUUGAUCACAUGUUGUGCAUAUCUUCCUAGUGGAUUGUCUCUUCCCUCUGGCGUAGGGCUCACUAGGGGUUCAACUCGACAGUCACAAGACUAUCAUAGGCCUAAAGCAUAUCAUAUUUAAGUCACAGACAGAUGUCCCAGACUUAAAGAUGAUUCUACACAGGAUUUUUCAACUUUGCAAUGGUUUUAUCAGGAUGUAACUCUGUAAGGAUCGACUUGGUGCGGGGUUAGUUUCUACUGAAUGUAUAUCACUUUUGCAUAAAGUCAGGACCCUCUGCUGUGUUGCCAGCAAUAGAUGCAUUUUCCUUUUGUUUUUUAUGAGAUGGAGUCUCACUCUGUCACCCAGGCUGGAGUGCAGUGAUGCGAUCUGGGCUCACUGCAACCUCUGCCGCCCAGGUUCAAGUGAUUUUCCUGCCUCAGCCUCCCGAGUUGCUGGGAUUACAGGAGCCUGCCACCACACCAGGCUAAUUUUUGUGUGUUUUUUUUUUUUAGUAGAGACGGGGUUUCACCAUCUUGGCCAGGCUGGUCUUGAACUCCCGACCUCGUGAUCCACCCACCCCAGGCUCCCAAAGUGCUGGGAUUAUAGUUGUGAGCCCCCAUGCCGUGCCGCAUUUUCUUUUUUCUUUUUUUUUUAAAGAGACGGGAAUCACUCUGUUGCCCAGGCUGGAGUGCAGUGGCACGAUUAUGGCUCACUGUAGCCUUGACCUCCCAGGCUUAAGAAGUCCUCCCACCUUAGCCACCUGAGGAGCUGGGACUACAGGCAUGUACCACUGUACCCAGCUAAUCUUUUAGAUAGGGUUUCACUAUAUUGCCCAAACUGGUCUGGAACUCCUGAGCUCAUGUAAUCCGCCUGCCUCGGCUUCCCAAAGCACUGGGAUUAUAGGAGUGAGCCAGCACACCCAGCCAGAUUGAUUUUUGAUUUACGAUGGGUUUUUGGGGGGCGGAACCCUGCUGUCAGGAGCAUCUGUACUCAUAUUCCCUCAUGAUGGUGGACUUGUUUAUAUUCAUGAUUCUGUUGAGUUUUGCUUUCUGUGCUUUCAGGCUCUAUCCGGCACCUUAAGGUUUAGAAUUGUCCAGUCUUUUGAGUCAAACCUUUUUUUGUUUUUUGUUUUUGAGACGGAGUCUUGCUCUGUCGCCCAGGCUGGAGUGCAAUGGCGUGAUCUCAGCUCACUGCAACCUCUGCCUCCCGGGUUCAAGCCAUUCUCCUGCCUUAACCUCCCAGGUAGCUGGGGCUACAGGCAUGCACCGCCACAUCCAGUAUUUUUAGUAGAGAUGGAGUUUCACCAUGCUGGCCAGGCUGGUCUCGAACUCCUGACCUCAAGUGAUCUGCCCACCUCGGCCUCUCAAAGUGCUGGGAUUACAGAGUACCAAGGGAAGAACACCUACCUGGAGAAGAUUGACGGCUUCCGAGCCUAUUACAAGCAGUGGCUGACAGUGAUGCCCGCAGAGGAAACCCCGCACCCCUGGCAGAAGUUGCGGACCAAGCCCCAGGGGGACCAGGACACCGGCAAGGAGGCUGAUGACGGAUGUGCCCUUGGGGGCAGGUGAUGGGAGCACAGCUGGAACAAUGUGCUCGGCCCCCAGUGCUCUGUGGGAGCCCCAGGACAAGUGAGCUGGUGUCACCUCCUGCCUGGGGGAAGAGCCAGGCCCUGAGGAACAGCCGCAGCGUGUCACGGGUGUUGGUGAGGACACACACUAGGCCCAAGGUGCCUGUGCUCCCAGCAGGUCCAAGUGCAGCUCCAGCCACCUUUGCGUGUCACCUUCACGGGACUUCCAGCUCCAGCUACCUUUGUGUGUCACCUCGCACACCACAAGGGGGCUGGGGCAUCUGGUCCCUGGGGCCUGGGCCGCCCCGCUGGGUUCCAUAGGCUGAUGCUCUGAAAGAAGAGACGUGGGGCUCGAGAGGUUUAAAGAUUUUAUUUUUACAAAUCACAGCUGAUAGACAGCGAAGCCUUCCCCAUAGAGACCGUGCUCCAACUCGGGCCUGGGGCACUGCUCGCUGCUCCCAGGAAGGGGGUGGCGUGACAGGCAGGAACCUGCGAAGUCCAGAGUCCAGGGUGGAGCGCGCCAGCCUCAGCCAGAGCAGCCACGACAGCCACAGUGUGUGCACUCGAUGAUGCGGCCCUGCAACAGAGGACAGUGAGACGAUGCCACUGCGCCACGCUCGCCCCUGCACACUCACAUACGUGGCAACCCUCCCACGAAGGACCUGCCACCAUGCCAUAUAGGGACACACCUCAGAAACCCUUCCUUGACAGCUCUGGACAGGGAAAAUUUGGCUCCCUCAUGAAGGUAGAACCAGCUGCUGUUGAUUACAUCUGUAUGUCUAUUUAUAAUAUGUUCUGCAAAUCCAACACGUUUGCCAAUCAAGAAAAAGAAA